GUGCCAGCAGCCGCGGUAAUACGGAGGGUGCAAGCGUUGUUCGGAAUUACUGGGCGUAAAGCGCGUGUAGGCGGGUGGGUAAGUCAGAUGUGAAAGCCUUCCGCUCAACGGAAGAAGGGCAUUUGAAACUGCCUGUCUGGAGUACGGGAGAGGAGAGUGGAAUUCCCGGUGUAGAGGUGAAAUUCGUAGAUAUCGGGAGGAACACCAGUGGCGAAGGCGGCUCUCUGGCCCAAUACUGACGCUGAGACGCGAAAGCGUGGGGAGCAAACAGGAUUAGAUACCCGGGUAGUCC
rnacentral:rRNA from 1 species